UACGUAUGGGGCUAGCGUUGUCCGGAAUCAUUGGGCGUAAAGCGCGUGUAGGCGGUUCGGUAAGUCCGCUGUGAAAGUCGGGGGCUCAACCCUCGAAUGCCGGUGGAUACUGUCGGACUAGAGUACGGAAGAGGCGAGUGGAAUUCCUGGUGUAGCGGUGAAAUGCGCAGAUAUCAGGAGGAACACCAAUUGCGAAGGCAGCUCGCUGGGACGUUACUGACGCUGAGACGCGAAAGCGUGGGGAGCAAACAGG
rnacentral:rRNA from 1 species